UGCCAGCCGCCGCGGUAAUACGGAGGGUGCAAGCGUUAUCCGGAAUUAUUGGGUUUAAAGGGUGCGUAGGCGGAAAUUUAAGUCAGUGGUGAAAGCCUACAGCUCAACUGUAGAAUUGCCAUUGAUACUGAAUCUCUUGAAUCUAAUUGAAGUAGGCGGAAUAUGACAUGUAGCGGUGAAAUGCUUAGAUAUGUCAUAGAACACCGAUAGCGAAGGCAGCUUACUAAACUAUUAUUGACGCUGAGGCACGAAAGCGUGGGGAGCGAACAGGAUUAGAUA
rnacentral:rRNA from 1 species